UGGGGCUUGAACCUGGCAUACAAUGUAGAUUUCUGUGUUUGUUAAGCAACAGCUACAUUGUCUGCUGGGUUUCAGGCUACUUGG
rnacentral:pre_miRNA from 1 species